AUUGAACGCUGGCGGCAGGCCUAACACAUGCAAGUCGAGCGAGCGGCGGACGGGUGAGUAAUGUAUGGGGACUGCCCCUUCGAGGGGGAUAACUACUGGAAACGGUAGCUAAUACCGCAUACUAUCGGAUAACCCAUAUGGGAUUAGCUAGUAGUGGAGGUAAUGGCUCACCUCGGCGACGCUCCCUAGCUGGUCUGAGAGGAUGAUCAGUCACACUGGGAAUGAGACACGGCCCAGACUGCUACGGAGGCAGCAGUGGGGAAUAUUGAACAAUGGGCGCAAUCCUGAUGCAGCCAUGCCGCGUGUAUGAAGAAGGCCAUAGGGUUGUAAAGUACUUUCAGUCGGGAGGCGUUACCGGCAGAAGAAGCACCGGCUAACUCCGUGCCAGCAGCCGCGGUAAUUC
rnacentral:rRNA from 1 species